AUGAUACUAGUAAUAAAAAUUACACUGCCUUGUCAAGACAGAGUUGUUGGUUAGAACCCGACGUGUCAAU
rnacentral:tRNA from 1 species